UGGGACUGAGACACGGUCCAGACUCCUACGGGAGGCAGCAGUGGGGAAUCUUGCGCAAUGGACGAAAGUCUGACGCAGCAACGCCGCGUGAGGGACGAAGGCUUUCUGAGUUGUAAACCUCUUUCGACAGGAACGAUUGUGACGGUACCUGUAGAAGAAGCACCGGCCAACUAUGUGCCAGCAGCCGCGGUAAUACAUAGGGU
rnacentral:rRNA from 1 species